GACGAACGCUGGCGGCGUGCUUAACACAUGCAAGUCGAACGGAAAGGCCCUGCUUUUGUGGGGUGCUCGAGUGGCGAUCGGGUGAGUAACACGUGAGUAACCUGCCCUUGACUUUGGGAUAACUUCAGGAAACUGGGGCUAAUACCGGAUAGGAGCUCCUGCUGCAUGGUGGGGGUUGGAAAGUUUCGGCGGUUGGGGAUGGACUCGGGGCUUAUCAGCUUGUUGGUGGGGUAGUGGCUUACCAAGGCUUUGACGGGUAGCCGGCCUGAGAGGGUGACCGGCCACAUUGGGACUGAGAUACGGCCCAGACUCCUACGGGAGGCAGCAGUGGGGAAUAUUGCACAAUGGGCGGAAGCCUGAUGCAGCAACGCCGCGUGCGGGAUGACGGCCUUCGGGUUGUAAACCGCUUUCGCCUGUGACGAAGCGUGAGUGACGGUAAUGGGUAAAGAAGCACCGGCUAACUACGUG
rnacentral:rRNA from 1 species